AUUGAACGCUAGCGGCAUGCCUAACACAUGCAAGUCGAACGGAGUGGCGGACGGGUGAGUAAUAUAUCGGAACGUGCCCAGUAGCGGGGGAUAACUACUCGAAAGAGUGUCUAAUCCCGCAUACUAUUGGAGGGGCCGAUAUCGGUUUAGCUGGUUGGUGGGGUAAAGGCUCACCAAGGCAACGAUCCGUAGCUGGUUUGAGAGGAGGACCAGCCACACUGGGACUGAGACACGGCCCAGACUCCUACGGGAGGCAGCAGUGGGGAAUUUUGGACAAUGGGCGAAAGCCUGAUGCAGCCAUGCCGCGUGUAUGAUGAAGGCCUUCGGGUUGUAAAGUACUUUUGGCGGAGAAGCGGUAUCUGCAGAAUAAGCACCGGCUAACUACGUGCCAGCAGCCGCGGUAAUUC
rnacentral:rRNA from 1 species